rnacentral:rRNA from 1 species
GUGCUUAACACAUGCAAGUCGAACGGAAAGGCCCUUUCGGGGGUACUCGAGUGGCGAACGGGUGAGUAACACGUGGGUGAUCUGCCCUGCACUUUGGGAUAAGCCUGGGAAACUGGGUCUAAUACCGAAUACACCCUGCUGGUCGCAUGGCCUGGUGGGGGAAAGCUUUUGCGGUGUGGGAUGGGCCCGCGGCCUAUCAGCUUGUUGGUGGGGUGAUGGCCUACCAAGGCGACGACGGGUAGCCGGCCUGAGAGGGUGUCCGGCCACACUGGGACUGAGAUACGGCCCAGACUCCUACGGGAGGCAGCAGUGGGGAAUAUUGCACAAUGGGCGCAAGCCUGAUGCAGCGACGCCGCGUGAGGGAUGACGGCCUUCGGGUUGUAAACCUCUUUCAGUACCGACGAAGCGCAAGUGACGGUAGGUACAGAAGAAGCACCGGCCAACUACGUGCCAGCAGCCGCGGUAAUACGUAGGGUGCGAGCGUUGUCCGGAAUUACUGGGCGUAAAGAGCUCGUAGGUGGUUUGUCGCGUUGUUCGUGAAAUC